rnacentral:rRNA from 1 species
UACGUAGGGUGCGAGCGUUGUCCGGAAUUACUGGGCGUAAAGAGCUCGUAGGUGGUUUGUCGCGUUGUUCGUGAAAACCUGAGGCUUAACCUUGGGCGUGCGGGCGAUACGGGCAGACUGGAGUACUGCAGGGGAGACUGGAAUUCCUGGUGUAGCGGUGGAAUGCGCAGAUAUCAGGAGGAACACCGGUGGCGAAGGCGGGUCGCUGGGCAUACUGACGCUGAGGACGAAAGCUGGGGAGCGAACGGGAUUAGAACCGUACCGCGAGACCAAGACCAG